ACUCAAAGGAAUUGACGGGGGCCCGCACAAGCGGUGGAGCAUGUUGUUCAAUUCGACGCAACGCGAAGAACCUUACCUGGGUUAAAUCCAGCGGAACCUUGCAGAGAUGUGAGGGUGCCCUUCGGGGAGCCGCUGAGACGGUGCUGCAUGGCUGUCGUCAGCUCGUGUCGUGAGAUGUUGGGUUAAGUCCCGCAACGAGCGCAACCCUUGUCGUUAGUUGCUAACAGUUAGGCUGAGCACUCUAACGAGACUGCCGGCGUUAAGCCGGAGGAAGGUGGGGAUGACGUCAAGUCCUCAUGGCCCUUAUGCCCAGGGCUACAAACGUGCUACAAUGGCCGGUACAAAGGGCUGCGAACUCGCAAGGGGGAGCCAAUCCCAAAAAACCGGUCUCAGUUCGGAUUGGAGUCUGCAACUCGACUCCAUGAAGUUGGAAUCGCUAGUAAUCGCCGAUCAGCAGGCGGCGGUGAAUACGUUCCCGGGCCUUGCACACACCGCCCGU
rnacentral:rRNA from 1 species